GAAAUUCCCAAGGUAUUUGGAAAUGUAGGUCAGAGGUUUGAAGGUACUUAUUUGUAGAGAAAAAUUUAGGAGUUGAGUAACACCGCAGCUCUGGGUGGAAUAGUAAAACUUUAAGAGGAGAUUUAGAGGGGAAAAAGAAAAAAACCAAAGGCUAGAACAGAGUUUUGACAAGUGUGCUUUGAGAAGUUAAAGGAGUGGGUGGUAAAGAGUUUUAUUGGAAAGUUUCUUAUUCACUGGGUUAGCAGAGUCAGAUCCUCAGAGAGUCAGGAUCUGAUUCUACUAGUUAAAUAUUUAAACUUGAUAAGAUAGUUUACUCUGGGUUACAGUUCACUUUUCUGCCUCUAGUUUUUCAUGCCCAGUUCUGACAUUUUUAAUAUCAAAGUAUGUUUUCAUAAUUAAGCAUGACUCCUUUACUUUCAUAAAAUGAAAAAGUUCAUAUUUGUUUAGUUCUCUUUCACUCACAUGCUGUGUAAUUGAAAAAACUGUUUUGGGGGAAGGCUAACACAGAGCCAGAAAGGAGAACAGUGGCUCCUCCAGGCAAGCAGUUAGAAUAGAUGUGGAGUUCACCCAAACCUGUUUUUUUUUUGUUAUUUAUUUAGGGCAUAAAACUAAAUGGCACAAAAGGAGGUUAUUCUUAGGAGAGGAACACAAAGGCACAUUGCCUAUGUGCAUCUGAUCAUAUAAAAUAGUAUUGAAAUGAAAUCUAGAAAAUGUGUGUGACACAGGUUUUUUUCAUUCAUUGCUGUUUUUGUUUUCUUUUUGUCUUGUUUGUUCAUUUAUUUGUAUUUGGGAAGGCACGGAAGGCACAUGAUGGGACAAAGGGUAAACAAAUGCAGCAGUGGUACUCAGUAGACACUGUUGAAAUGAACUAUAUAAUCUGUCUGUUCAUCCAUCCAUCCAUCCAUCCAUCCAUCCAUCCAUCCAUCCAUCCACUGUUGGGAAUGGAACCCAGGGCAACACUUGACACAAGGCUAAGCAAAGUACUCUACCUCUAAGCCAUACUGCUAACGCCCCUUUUAAUCAUUUUAAAGUGUGCAGUUCUGUGCCAUUAAGUAUGUCACUACUACCAUUUCCAGAACUCUUUCCAUCUUCCCAAACUAAAACCGUAUCAGCUAAAUGCUAAUUACCUACUUCUCAUUUUCUCCAGUCUACGUACCUCAUACAAGUAGAAUAGUAUUUCUUCUUUUCUGAUUGACUUAUUUCACUUAGCAUAAUGUCUUUGAGCUUUUUCCAUGUUCUUGCAUGCAUUAGAAUUUCAUCCCUCUUAAAGACCAAAUAAUAUUCAAUUGUAUCUCUAGACCACAUUUUGUUUGUCCUCUUUCCUUAGCUUUCUUGCCUUUAGUUUUUGGUUUUGUUGUUGUUGUUGUUCCUAUCACACCCAAUUUUCCCCAACUUCAGAAAUGCAGAUAAGGUCAUACUUAAAACAUCUUCCUGCUUUUAAUGGUAGCUUACCUUGCUUCCAUUUCCCAAUCACACUGAGGUUUUUUUCCUUCCUUCCUUUUUUUUUUUU